AGAGUUUGAUCAUGGCUCAGAAUGAACGUUGGCGGCGUGGAUUAGGCAUGCAAGUCGAACGGGCCUAGCAAUAGGUCAGUGGCGUAAGAGUGAGUAAUGCGACGGCAACCAACCCCAUGGUUGGGCAUAGCCGCGGGAAACUGCGGGUAAUUCCCAGCGACGUCCGUGUCGGGCAUCCGACGUGGACCAAAGUUCCGGCGCCGUGGGACGGGCCGUCGUGGUAUUAGGUAGUUGGCGGGGUAACGGCCCACCAAGCCUAUGAUGCCUACCGGGCGUGCGAGCGUGGCCCGGCACACUGGGACUGAGACACUGCCCAGACUCCUACGGGAGGCUGCAGUCGAGAAUCUUCGGCAAUGGGCGCAAGCCUGACCGAGCGACGCCGCGUGGAGGAUGAAGGCCUUCGGGUUGUAAACUCCUGUCGAGGGGGAGGAAGGGGUAACCUUGACCGAUCCCUGGAGGAAGCACGGGCUAAGUUCGUGCCAGCAGCCGCGGUAAGACGAACCGUGCUAACGUUAUUCGGAAUCACUGGGCUUAAAGCGCGUGUAGGCGGAUGGGAACGUCGGUUGUUGAAAGCCCCCGGCUCAACCGGGGAACUGGCACCGAAACGCCCCGUCUGGAGGGACGUAGGGGGACCUGGAACUUCCGGUGGAGCGGUGAAAUGCGUUGAGAUCGGAAGGAACGCCCGUGGCGAAAGCGAGGUCCUGGACGUUUUCUGACGCUGAGACGCGAAAGCUAGGGGAGCGAACGGGAUUAGAUACCCCGGUAGUCCUAGCUGUAAACGAUGGGCACUGGAUAGGGGGCUCGCCGAUGGGCUCCCUGUCG
rnacentral:rRNA from 1 species